UAACGUGUGUAAAAUGGAAGAAGCAAGAAAUAAAAAAAACUAAAAUUUGGGGAAAGAAUCGACAAAUAACAGAGGGAAAAAAAAAGGAAAAAUAUGAGAAAAGAAAUGGGAAAAGAACAUCAAACUAAAAAAAAGCUCCUAUUUCAAAUUUUAAAAGUAAUUCUUUAAAAAUUAAAAGGCAAAACCAAAAUAAAUUAAUUCCUCAAAACACACAUGAGAACUCAAACUUGGAACCCAAAGGCGAACUAAUACACAAACAACCACCAAACCAGCAGGCCUAUUCUGACAUUAAAACGUGAAACUGAA
rnacentral:lncRNA from 1 species